rnacentral:rRNA from 1 species
UACAGAGGUCUCAAGCGUUGUUCGGAUUCAUUGGGCGUAAAGGGUGCGUAGGCGGCGCGGUAAGUCAGGGGUGAAAUCCCGGAGCUCAACUCCGGAACUGCCUUUGAUACUGCCGGGCUUGAGUCCGGGAGAGGUGAGUGGAAUUCCCAGUGUAGCGGUGAAAUGCGUAGAUAUUGGGAGGAACACCAGUGGCGAAGGCGGCUCACUGGACCGGAACUGACGCUGAGGCGCGAAAGCGUGGGGAGCAAACAGG